AUGACUGCAAAACAGGUGAGCAGGAAUCCAAUCACAUCCAGAGAGUGGUACUGGUACCAGGGAAGGUUAUGUCCAAGUGGUCUCAGGUGCUUGGCCCCUUUGUGGCGCAUGAUAAACUCAAUCCAGAAGACAGCUCUGUCCAGGGGCUUCAUAGGCUGGUCAUGGUGAAUGGUUGACAACAACAUAACAUUUUUUUUAUAGCUAUAAGUGAUAAAAUGGUCAUCAAUGGAUGGAAUGAAUACUACAAAAAACCCUGCUCUUACCCAUUGAGCCUAAUUUUUGAUAUUAUUGCUGACCUUCAUUUUUUGUUAACAUUCUGACUCUAGAAAAGUUGAUGGAAUUUCACAAAGAAGCAUGAUGCAAGUGCAUUUGACUCUACUGUUGAAAUAAUUAUUGAUGGGUACACAAGUAGAGGGUGACAUAGAGGCCUGAGUUACCACUCCUAAAUAUCAGUUUGAUGUAGAAAAACAGAGCAAGAAGAAACUAAAUUUCUGGAGAAGUAUUUUUGCAAAUUUGAAUGUGGCUUGAGACUUGAGAAAUCUCUUUGCCCAUGAGUACUUGGAAUUAAUAGCCAACGUGUUGGAUCAUAGGACUAUGGAGUCAUCUAACUCAUCUGGAAGAACCCUUCCAUAUUGUAGUGUUGGAAUGGUCCAGGAAUGGAGUUGUAAUGUAAAGCUUUGGUGAGCUUCAUCAUCAGACAUGCUGAACUGACCUGCUUUAACUUGUGAUCUCAGGGACUUUCAGCCGAAUCCAGUCAGAACACAGACAUCAGAGACUACAACAAUCAUUAACGUGGCCUUCUUAAGGCCAAACAACUACCCUAUUUCCCCUACAGUUCCCCUCAAUGAUAUCUCAAUGCCCUAACCCUAAUCCCAACCCUAACCCUAACCCUAGCCCUAGCCCUAGCCCUAGCCCUAGCCCUAACUCUAUAGCUGGAAAUAGGUAUGAAGAGUCGUCACCUGGACUUGUGCAUCUGGAUUUGGUUAUUCUAAGUUGUCUCUCUGGGAAAUCUAGAAAUGGUCAUAAUUUGAAAAAGGAGGAAAUAGCUAGAGUUGAUUGUGCAGUCCUAAUCUCAUUUGUUCCCAUAGGAUACGUAUGUAUACAGAAUGAUGAGGUUUUAAGAGAAAAACGGCCCAUCGACACAGAUUCUCCAGUGAACAUUUAUCUAAUACUUCAUAAACAAAAUUCAAGCCUUGUUGACAUUAUGUCUAAUUAUCUAUCUGGACAGCCAGGGAAGGGUUACCCAUGUGGCUGAAGACUCAAUGUCUAACUGUGAGUUCAUUAUUCUCAGAAUUUCUGAUGUUAUCUGUUUUUUAAGUAUUUCAAGUUUAGAAACUCAGUGCUUCUUGCUUGUGUUCGAUUAGAUGCCAUGAAGGCAAGAGUACUAACAACCUUUAGCAUCUUAAUAAAUGGGAAUUUUUAAGUACCAUUUGCCAUAUUAUUUUUAUUUUCAUUCAGCUUUUAAAAUGUUUUGAUCAAAACAAAGGAGUGAAUUCUUGAUCACAGAUGCUUGGACUAAGUCCUGAAUUGUGUAUGAUGUUACAAAAAGGGGAGAAGGUCAACAUCGAGUGUGACAUCAGUGAGUUUCCAGAAGGUGGUUUAAAAAGCUGAAGAUGGUAAAAUUUGUCUCAAAUCUUGCCUCAGUUGUUCCUGGUAUCAUGGGAAAAAUUAUCUUAUGGUAUCUGGCCAAAAUGGAAAUUGAGGUAAUGCAUAUUCAUAUCUAUAUAAGGAUUAAUAAAGCUUGCAACUGCGUGCAGUUGCUUUUGCCUUUGCUCUGCAUCCCCUGUGUCCUGGUGAUAUGUGACCAUACCCAGGCCCCCCAACUAGAUGUUGACAAGAGAAUAGGACCAGUGCCAGAUAAGAUUAUAUAUACAAAUGGCCACACGUUCUUGGCCCAUGCGUAGUGCGUGAUAAACUCAGUUUAGAAGAUGGCUAUGUCUAGAUGCUUUAUAGACUGGAUAAAGUGAACGGCUGACAAUGAUAUUGUAUUCUCUAUUUUUUAAAGGAAAAUAAAAUACAUAUCAUGUAACAUGAAUUAGGUAAUGCAAGGGUUUUUUUAUAAUUAAUAAAGAGGAUUACAUAAAAAGUGUAAAGAAAGUAUUCUAUCCAACCUUAAUUAUAGAGGUCUUAGCAUAUAGGCUUCAACUAGAGCACCCAGGAUAUAAACACAAAAAUAUACAGAAAACCAUUUCUAAGAUACAGACUAGAGCUAUAAGUCUUCAAAGCUAAACAAACAAAAUAAGAAUGAACUAUUGAUCAUUUGUGGAUAUAAAGCUUGAGGUAGUGGAUAAGAAAUCAUUAAUAUACUAGUGUAAAGGUCACAAUUCAGAGACAGGAGGCAACUCCCUUUCAAGUUUCCACUGUGUUCUUAGGCAAGCAAGGAUAAGAAGGAAGUGGAAUUGAGGUUGUACUAACCUCUCACUAUAGAUUAAUUAUUAUUAACUAUAAAUGUGAAUGGCCUAUAUUGUUUACAAUAAGUGUAUGGGAUUAUGACUUAAUACUUACCAACAAAAUCAAAUGAUGAGACCUUUUGUAAGAAGCAAAAAAAAAAUUCUUGAAGUGUCAAUACUAAUCUAGUCUUUUCACAUAGCCAGACACUUUGUAAGAAACAAAAGCAAAACAAUAAUAAUAAAGCCAAAGAUUGUUUUGUUACAGUCCCUCAUAGUAUGAUUUAACUCUGCCCGUAUUUUGGCCUCAACCCUUAUUUUUAUUCUCUUUUCAUUCAGGUAAGAACUAACCAAUAACAAUUAUAUAACAAAUAGAUAAGGGAAUAUAUGAAUAAAUAAAAUGACCUAAGAACAGAGCUCAGUGAUAGAGUACAUGCCUAUAAUGCCUAAAUAAAUAAAUAAAUAAACAAACAAAUAAAUAAACAAAUAAAGGAAAAAACAAAAAUCUGGGUUCAAACAUCGGACAAAAGAAUAAGUAGGUAUGCAAACAUUAAAAUGAUUAUACUUACAAAGGUUUGUUAUUCAAAACUUUAAUGCACUGAGAAAAUCUAUAAUUCACAGUACUCUGCUAUCGAAUCCUACAGCUACUCCUUCAGCCACAAUGUAAGCAACAUUAUCACGUUGGUCCCCAAGCAAAGAAUGCCAUCCAUAGGGAUGCCAUGGUGGAUGGCUCCACCAUGAGUUACAAGAUUUUUAGUUUUUGAGUAGCCUAGGAUCAGAAUGAGGGUCUAGGAGUUAGACAGACCCCUGACAGUAUUUUUGUUGUUUUUCCUUUUUUUUAAUUUUUGAGAGAGAAGGAAAAUGAAUUUAAGUGGGCAGUGGGAUUGUUAGGAUCUAGCGAGAAUUAAGGAAGAGGCAAAUGACCAAAAUAUGAUGCAUGACAAAUGUAGAGGUGAAUGUUAGCAGCGAACCAUUGAACUGAGAACAAACCCCCACUGGAGGAGUUAGAGAAAGGAUUGAAGGAACUAAAUGGGGUUUGCAACCCCAUAAGACCAACAAUACCAACCCACCAGAGCUCCUAGGGACUAAACCACCACCCAAAGAGUACACAUAGACAGACCCAUGGCUCCAGCUGUAUAUGUAGCAGAGGUUGGCCUCAUUGAGCACCAAUGGGAGGAGAAGCCCUUGGUCCUGCCAAGGCUAGAUGCCCCAUUUAGGGGAAUGUCAGGACAGGGAUGUGGAAAGUGGAGUGGUUGGGGAAGGGGACCAACCUUAUAGAAUGUGGAGUGGGAUGGAAUAGGGGGCUCAUGGACAGGAAACCUGGAAAGGGAAUAACAUUUGAAAUGUAAAUAAAAAUAUCCAAUAACAAAAAUAAAUUAAAAAUUCUAUUCAGUAAAAAUAUUUUUUGAAAAUCAAAAAGAAUUCAUGCUGUAAUAUCUGUAACACUAGAGAAACAGAAAAGUUCAUUUUUAUUAGAUAAGUUUCAUCUCACAAUACACUAAGUUCGUGUGGUUGUUCUUAAACAAUAUGAUAGGCUUGUGACAUUGACUCUAGGAGAUCCUAACAUACAUCAAUAAUACUCAUAUUAUGUGUCUUCCCAGAGGUCUAACAUAUUGUUAUUCACCACUUCAUUUCUAUAGACUAUAUUUAGAAGUCAUGGUUUCCCUAUCUGAGGAAAGAGAGAGGAGAAUGCCUACAAGAUAGAAGAAUGGAAUACACUAGAAGUUAAUCAUUAUAUUACAUGUCUACAUUUGUUUCCUGUCUGAAACAGAACAACUUAUUUGAAAAUAGGACUAAAGCAGAUGGUUGCAGGCUUCUUGUGGUUAGAAUUAAUAUAAUGUCACUCCGGACUUUCCCAAAUCUAAAAAAGACCUAGUUCUUUUUCUUUCUAUUACCCUUUUUCUUCCUUUCUCUCAAACAAAAUUUUCUACACAUAAACAACAUUUAGUGAUGACGAACGUCAGAGUUACAACACAGACCAGUAGGAACCCGAUCACAUCCAGAGAGUGGUACUGAAACCAGCUGAGGUCAUGUGCAGCCACAGGAAGGUGCUUGGCUCCUUUGUGACGCAUGACAAACUCAAUCCAGAAGACGGCUCUGUCCAGGGGCUUCACUGGCUGAUCAUUGUGGAGUCUUGAUAACUGCAUGGCAUUCUCCUUAUAGCUAAAAGAUGAACACACAAAACUAUUUUGUUGCUUCUUUAUGGAACAUCUGAUACUUUAUGCAAACCGCAGGUCAUAUAUAAGUUCAGGAAUUGGUUAAUACUUUCUUAGACUUUGUUGGUUUCAGAGAUCUUCAGGAAUUUAAAGGAAAUAUCGUGGAAGCAAUCUGUUCCCAAGACAAUGUGGUCUAAUGCAGACAUAAAAAAAUGUAAUAUCCAGUAUUAAAUCAAUACUCUCAUCUUUUUGAAAUAAUUUUGAUACCAAGCAACUAUAGUGCUCAAGAUUGUUUAAGAUAAAAAUAGGGAAAGAUGCAUGAAUAUAUGACCACUAGCAUGUAGGUAAUUCAUGUUACUGACCCAGAGAACGUGUAGUCAGCAUAAGUCAGUCAAUUUAGAGUUCAGAGAUCUUUCAUUCCUUUAAUGUGUUGAGGGCUCGGAGGUUCUUGUACUCACACAAAGCACUAAAAGAACUAGGAAUGUUAGUUACACAGGGGAGUCUCCUCCAGAGAGGAGAUAAAAUCAAAUACCUGAAUUCCAUCCAGAAAGCUGAGAGUGGGGGUUGCUAACAACCUGGCGACCAUUUUGGUAUCUGUGGUGGCAGAUCUCACCUUAGUGCCUCAGAAUGGUUAUUUCAGAUUCUUCCCUCCUUAGACCACUACUGCUCCUUAGGGUAGAAGUCACAUAUACAUGUAGCCUGCUGCCUUCUAUGCUAUUGGCCAUAGACCAUACUGAAUUCUAGGUCUUUUACCUAUAGAUCUGACUCUCAUUGUAGCCCCAUGCUAUGGGUAUGCCUUGUUCUUGGCCCAGUGUAAAAACAAAACUAGAAAAAAAAACCUGAAAAAAGCCUUGUGGGUUUUUUUUUUAUUUCACUAAACUACAGACAGAGUCAAAAUAUAGUUUUAUAGGGUCAUCCAGCUGAAUUUCAGGCAAACGGUAUUGGUGAUAAAAUACUAAUAUUCCGAAGUUGUUUUUCCAACAAGAUAUUUUUGCUUACACUCAGUGAUUAAAUUUCAAAUUUACAUGUAUUUGGUAGAAAAGGUUGUGAUUCUAAACUAAAGUUCCUAGUCUUAUAAGCAAGGUAAGACCAUGCACAAUUUAUUUCACAUUUUAGUUACUAAAUGUUUAGUCAUAAAACUGUGAAAAUAUCCUGAACAAUUAACACAAUUAACACAUUUACAGUUUUAAUGUACCCUCUUUUGCCUCUUUUCCUUGUCUUUACAUGUAUAGUGUAUGUGAAGUGUGGGUAGUAUAUACACAUGGAGAGGUCAGAAGACACUCACUAGGUUUUAGUCCUUAAAUUCUCUCUUAUUUAAGAUGGAUCUGUUGUUUACUGCUGUGCACAGCAGCCUAGCUGGUCUGCUUUUACCCAUUCUUCUGUCUCUACAUCUCAUUCUGCUGUAGAAGCCCAGGGAUUACAGGCAAAAGCUAGAAGACUGAGGAUCUGAACUCAGGUCUACAUACAUGCACAGCAAGAGCUUACACUGUGCCUCCCUUCCCAAUUCCCUAUUGAAAAUUGUAGUUUUAUAGAAUCAGAUAAUGGAACAAAAACACUAUGCCCUAUGUUCUCAAGUCGUCUUAGACAUACUAUUUGGCUUAGUGUUAACAUCAGGUUAUUUUAAGUUAAGUACUAUUUUAGUCCAUACAUAUUCAAACACACACACACACACACACACACACACACACACACACACACACACAGAAACUUUCUAAAAUUAUUUACAUCAUAUUUUUUAUACAUCAAUAGAUUUAAAAUGAUGGACUAAAUGACUAUUGUAUGCAUUAAUGUUUAUUAUAAUCAUAAAAUCUAGCCACUCAGAUAGUUAAUAAAGUUGAAUCAAAUUACCAUCAACUAAAAACUUGGUAAUAGUCUAAUGUAAAAUAUAUAUUAACAUUUAUGCAAAAAAGUAGCUUAUCCUAAGAAAUAUCGAUAGUCCUAACCCUAAUGUGAUCUUCUGAAAUAUACCUUUCUUAUAGCCAAAAUAUUAUAACACACUUACUCAGCUAUAACUGUUACAUAAUAAGCAAUUGUUUUUUUUUUCUAUUAACUUGAGUAUUUCUUAUAUACAUUUCGAGUGUUAUUCCCUUUCCCGGUUUCCGGGGAAACAUCCCCCUCCACCCUCCCCUUCCUUAUGGGUGUUCCCCUCCCAACCCUCCCCCCAUUGCUGCCCUCCCCACUAGACUAGUUCACUGGGGGUUCAGUCUUAGCAGGACCCAGGGCUUCCCCUUCCACUGGUGCUCUUACUAGGAUAUUCAUUGCUACCUAUGGGGUCAGAGUCCAGGGUCAGUCCAUGUAUAGUCUUUAGGUAGUGGCUUAGUCCCUGGAAGCUCUGGUUGCUUGGCAUUGUUGUACUUUUGGGGUCUCGAGCCCCUUCAAGCUCUUCCAGUUCUUUCUCUGAUUCCUUCAAUAGGGGACCUAUUCUCAGUUCAGUGGUUUGCUGCUGGCAUUCGCCUCUAUAUUUGCUGUAUUCUGGCUGUGUCUCUCAGGAGCGAUCUACAUCCGGCUCCUGUCGGUCUGCACUUCUUUGCUUCAUCCAUCUUGUCUAAUUGGGUGGCUGUAUAUGUAUGGGCCACAUGUGGGGCAGGCUCUGAAUGGGUGUUCCUUCAGUCUCUGUUUUAAUCUUUGCCUCUCCCUUCCCUGCCAAGGGUAUUCUUUUUCCUCAUUUAAAGAAGGAGUGAAGCAUUCACAUUUUGAUCAUCCGUCUUGAGUUUAGUUUGUUCUAGGGAUCUAGGGUAAUUCAAGCAUUUGGGCUAAUAGCCGCUUAUCAAUGAGUGCAUACCAUGUAUGUCUUUCUGUGAUUGGGUUAGCUCACUCAGGAUGAUAUUUUCCAGUUCCAACCAUUUGCCUACGAAUUUCAUAAACUCGUUGUUUUUGAUAGCUGAGUAAUAUUCCAUUGUGUAGAUGUACCACAUUUUCUGUAUCCAUUCCUCUGUUGAAGGGCAUCUGGGUUCUUUCCAGUUUCUGGCUAUUAUAAAUAAGGCUGCGAUGAACAUAGUGGAGCACGUGUCUCUUUUAUAUGUUGAGGCAUGUUUUGGGUAUAUGCCCAAGAGAGGUAUAGCUGGAUCCUCAGGCAGUUCAAUGUCCAAUUUUCUGAGGAACCUCCAGACUGAUUUCCAGAAUGGUUUUACCAGUCUGCAAUCCCACCAACAAUGGAGGAGUGUUCCUCUUUCUCCACAUCCUCGCCAGCAUCUGCUGUCCCCUGAGUUUUUGAUCUUAGCCAAUCGCACUGGUGUGAGGUGAAAUCUCAGGGUUGUUUUGAUUUGCAUUUCCCUUAUGACUAAAGAUGUUGAACAUUUCUUUAGGUGUUUCUCAGCCAUUCGGCAUUCCUCAGCUGUGAAUUCUUUGUUUAGCUCUGAACCCCAUUUUUUAAUAGGGUUAUUUGUUUCCCUGCGGUCUAACUUCUUGAGUUCUUUGUAUAUUUUGGAUAUAAGGCCUCUAUCUGUUGUAGGAUUGGUAAAGAUCUUUUCCCAAUCUGUUGGUUGCCGUUUUGUCCUAACCACAGUGUCCUUUGCCUUACAGAAGCUUUGCAGUUUUAUGAGAUCCCAUUUGUCGAUUCUUGAUCUUAGAGCAUAAGCCAUUGGUGUUUAGUUCAGGAAAUUUUUUCCAGUGCCCAUGUGUUCCAGAUGCUUCCCUAGUUUUUCUUCUAUUAGUUUGAGUGUGUCUGGUUUGAUGUGGAGGUCCUUGAUCCACUUGGACUUAAGCUUUGUACAGGGUGAUAAGCAUGGAUCGAUCUGCAUUCUUCUACAUGUUGCCCUCCAGUUGAACCAGCACCAUUUGCUGAAAAUGCUAUCUUUUUUUCCAUUGGAUGGUUUUGGCUCCUUUGUCAAAAAUCAAGUGACCAUAGGUGUGUGGGUUCAUUUCUGGGUCUUCAAUUCUAUUCCAUUGGUCUAUCUGUCUGUCUCUGUACCAAUACCAUGCAGUUUUUAUCACUAUUGCUCUGUAAUACUGCUUGAGUUCAGGGAUAGUUAUUCCCCCUGAAGUCCUUUUAUUGUUGAGGAUAGCUUUAGCUAUCCUGGGUUUUUUGUUAUUCCAGAUGAAUUUGCAAAUUGUUCUGUCUAACUCUUUGAAGAAUUGGAUUGGUAUUUUGAUGGGGAUUGCAUUGAAUUUGUAGAUUGCUUUUGGUAAAAUGGCCAUUUUUACUAUAUUAAUCCUGCCAAUCCAUGAGCAUGGGAGAUCUUUCCAUCUUCUGAGGUCUUCUUCAAUUUCUUUCCUCAGUGUCUUGAAGUUCUUAUUGUACAGAUCUUUUACUUGCUUGGUUAAAGUCACACCGAGGUACUUUAUAUUAUUUGGGUCUAUUAUGAAGGGUGUCGUUUCCCUAAUUUCUUUCUCGGCUUGUUUCUCUUUUGUAUAGAGGAAGGCAACUGAUUUAUUUGAGUUAAUUUUAUACCCAGCCACUUUGCUGAAGUUGUUUAUCAGCUUUAGUAGUUCUCUGGUGGAACUUUUGGGAUCACUUAAAUAUACUAUCAUGUCAUCUGCAAAUAGUGAUAUUUUGACCUCUUCUUUUCCGAUCUGUAUCCCUUUGAUCUCCUUUUGUUGUCUGAUUGCUCUGGCUAGAACUUCAAGAACUAUAUUGAAUAAGUAGGGAGAGAGUGGGCAGCCUUGUCUAGUCCCUGAUUUUAGUGGGAUUGCUUCAAGUUUCUCUCCAUUUAGUUUAAUGUUAGCAACUGGUUUGCUGUAUAUGGCUUUUACUAUGUUUAGGUAUGGGCCUUGAAUUCCUAUUCUUUCCAGGACUUUUAUCAUGAAGGGGUGUUGAAUUUUGUCAAAUGCUUUCUCAGCAUCUAAUGAAAUGAUCAUGUGGUUCUGUUCUUUCAGUUUGUUUAUAUAAUGGAUCACGUUGAUGGUUUUCCGUAUAUUAAACCAUCCCUGCAUGCCUGGGGUGAAGCCUACUUGAUCAUGGUGGAUGAUUGUUUUGAUGUGCUCUUGAAUUCGGUUUGCCAGAAUUUUAUUGAGUAUUUUUGCGUCGAUAUUCAUAAGGGAAAUUGGUCUGAAGUUCUCUUUCUUUGUUGUGUCUUUGUGUGGUUUAGGUAUAAGAGUAAUUGUGGCUUCGUAGAAGGAAUUCGGUAGGGCUCCAUCUGUUUCAAUUUUGUGGAAUAGUUUGGAUAAUAUUGGUAUGAGGUCUUCUAUGAAGGUUUGAUAGAAUUCUGCACUAAACCCGUCUGGACCUGGGCUCUUUUUGGUUGGGAGACCUUUAAUGACUGCUUCUAUUUCCUUAGGAGUUAUGGGGUUGUUUAACUGGUUUAUCUGUUCCUGAUUUAACUUCGAUACCUGGUAUCUGUCUAGGAAAUUGUCCAUUUCCUGAAGAUUUUCAAAUUUUGUUGAAUAUAGGUUUUUAUAGUAAGAUCUGAUGAUUUUUUGAAUUUCCUCCGAAUCUGUAGUUAUGUCUCCCUUUUCAUUUCUGAUUUUGUUAAUUUGGACACACUCUCUGUGUCCUCUCGUUAGUCUGGCUAAGGGUUUAUCUAUCUUGUUGAUUUUCUCAAAGAACCAACUUUUGGUUCUGUUGAUUCUUUCUAUGGUCCUUUUUGUUUCUACUUGGUUGAUUUCAGCUCUGAGUUUGAUUAUUUCCUGCCUUCUACUCCUCCUGGGUGUAUUUGCUUCUUUUUGUUCUAGAGCUUUUAGGUGUGCUGUCAAGCUGCUGACAUAUGCUCUUUCCUGUUUCUUUCUGCAGGCACUCAGCGCUAUGAGUUUUCCUCUUAGCACAGCUUUCAUUGUGUCCCAUAAGUUUGAGUAUGUUGUAUCUUCAUUUUCAUUAAAUUCUAAAAAGUUUUUAAUUUCUUUCUUUAUUUCUUCCUUGACCAGGUUAUCAUUGAGUAGAGCAUUGUUCAAUUUCCACGUAUAUGUGGGCAUUCUUCCCUUAUUGUUAUUGAAGACCAGUUUUAGGCCGUGGUGGUCCGAUAGCACGCAUGGGAUUAUUUCUAUCUUUCUGUACCUGUUGAGGCCCGUUUUUUGACCAAUUAUAUGGUCAAUUUUGGAGAAAGUACCAUGAGGAGCUGAGAAGAAGGUAUAUCCUUUUGCUUUAGGAUAGAAUGUUCUAUAAAUAUCCGUUAAGUCCAUUUGGCUCAUGACUUCUCUUAGUCUGUCGACAUCACUGUUUAAUUUCUGUUUCCAUGAUCUGUCCAUUGAUGAGAGUGGGGUGUUGAAAUCUCCCACUAUUAUUGUGUGAGGUGCAAUGUGUGUUUUGAGCUUUAGUAAGGUUUCUUUUACGUAUGUAGGUGCCCUUGUAUUUGGGGCAUAGAUAUUUAGGAUUGAGAGUUCAUCUUGGUGGAUUUUUCCUUUGAUGAAUAUGAAGUGUCCUUCCUUAUCUUUUUUGAUGACUUUUAGUUGGAAAUUGAUUUUAUUUGAUAUUAGAAUGGCUACUCCAGCUUGCUUCUUCUGACCAUUUGCUUGGAAAGUUGUUUUCCAGCCUUUCACUCUGAGGUAGUGUCUGUCUUUGUCUCUGAGGUGUGUUUCCUGUAGGCAGCAGAAUGCAGGGUCCUCAUUGCGUAUCCAGUUUGUUAAUCUAUGUCUUUUUAUUGGGGAGUUGAGGCCAUUGAUAUUGAGAGAUAUUAAGGAAUAGUGAUUAUUGCUUCCCGUUAUAUUCAUAUUUGGAUGUGAGGUUAUGUUUGUGUGCUUUCAUUCUCUUUGUUAUGUUGCCAAGACGAUUAGUUUCUUGCUUCUUCUAGGGUAUAGCUUGCCUCCUUAUGUUGGGCUUUACCAUUUAUUAUCCUUUGUAGUGCUGGACUUGUAGAAAGAUAUUGUGUAAAUUUGGUUUUGUCAUGGAAUAUCUUGGUUUCUCCAUCAAUGUUAAUUGAGAGUUUUGCUGGAUACAGUAACCUGGGCUGGCAUUUGUGUUCUCUUAGGGUCUGUAUAACAUCAGUCCAGGAUCUUCUGGCCUUUACAGUUUCUGGCGAGAAGUCUGGUGUGAUUCUGAUAGGUCUGCCUUUAUAUGUUACUUGACCUUUUUCCCUUACUGCUUUUAAUAUUCUUUCUUUAUUUUGUGCGUUUGGUGUUUUGACAAUUAUGUGACGGGAGGUGUUUCUUUUCUGGUCCAAUCUAUUUGGAGUUCUGUAGGCUUCUUGUAUGUCUAUGGGUAUCUCUUUUUUUAGGUUAGGGAAGUUUUCUUCUAUGAUUUUGUUGAAGAUAUUUACUGGUCCUUUGAGCUGGGAGUCUUCACUCUCUUCUAUACCUAUUAUCCUUAGGUUUGAUCUUCUCAUUGAGUCCUGGAUUUCCUGUAUGUUUUGGACCAGUAGCUUUUUCUGCUUUACAUUAUCUUUGACAGUUGAGUCAAUGAUUUCUAUGGAAUCUUCUGCUCCUGAGAUUCUCUCUUCCAUCUCUUGUAUUCUCUUGGUGAAGCUUGUAUCUACAGCUCCUUGUCUCUUCUUUUGGUUUUCUAUAUCCAGGGUUGUUUCCAUGUGUUCUUUCUUGAUUGCUUCUAUUUCCAUUUUUAAUUCCUUCAACUGUUUGAUUGUGUUUUCCUGGAAUUCUUUCAGGGAUUUUUGCGAUUCCUCUCUGUAGGCUUCUACUUGUUUAUUAAUGUUUUCCUGUGCUUCCCUAAGUGUGUUCAUGUCUUUCUUGAAGUCCUCCAGCAUCAUGAUCAAAUAUGAUUUUGAAACUAGAUCUUGCUUUUCUGGUGUAUUUGGAUAUUCCAUGUUUGUUUUGGUGGGAGAAUUGGGCUCCGAUGAUGGCAUGUAGUCUUGGUUUCUGUUGCUUGGGUUCCUGCGCUUGCCUCUCGCCAUCAGAUUAUCUCUAGUGUUACUUUGUUCUGCUAUUUCUGACAGUGGCUAGACUGUCCUAUAAGCCUGUGUGUCAGGAGUGCUGUAGACCUGUUUUCCUGUUUUCUUUCAGUCAGUUAUGGGGACAGAGUGUUCUGCUUUCGGGCGUGUAGUUUUUCCUCUCUACAGGUCUUCAGCUGUUCCUGUGGGCCUGUGUCUUGAGUUCACCAGGCAGCUUUCUUGCAGCAGAAAAUUUGGUCUUACCUUUGGUCCCUAGGCUCAGGUUUGCUCGUGGGGUGCUGCCCAGGGGCUCUCUGCAGCGGCAGCACCCAGGAAGACCUGUGCCGCCCCUUCCGGGAGCUUCAGUGCACCAGGGUUCCAGAUGGUCUUUGGCUUUUUCCUCUGGCGUCCGAGAUGUGUGUGCAGGGAGCAGUCUCUUCUGGUUUCCCAGGCUUGUCUGCCUCUCUGAAGGUUUAGCUCUCCCUCCCACGGGAUUUGGGUGCAGAGAACUGUUUAUCCGGUCUGUUUCCUUCAGGGUCCGGCCGCUCCCCCACGGGAGCCCAGAGGCCUUAUACAGUUUCCUCUUGGGCCAGGGAUGUGGGUAGGGGUGAGCAGUGUUGGUGGUCUCUUCUGCUCUGCAGCCUCAGGAGUGCCCACCUGACCAGGCGGUUGGGUCUCUCUCUCACCGGGUCUGGGAGCAGAGCAAUAAGCAAUUGUUAAAUGUAUCACUAUAUAUUAUUUUUAAAAAUAAUAUUGAACAUAUUAUAAGUUCCAUUUUUGUA